GCUACCACAUCAAGGUGCAUUUGGCCGACGAGGCGUUGCUGCUGCCACUGACCGUGCGGCCCCGCGACACGCUGAGCGACCUGCGCGCGCAGCUAGUGGGCCAGGGCGUGAGCUCGUGGCGCAGAACCUUUUACUACAACUCCAGGCCGCUACCAGACCACCAGACGGUGCGCGAGGCGCGCCUACAGGACGGCUCCGUCUUGCUGCUGCUCAGCGACCCCAGGUGACUAGGGAUGUGAGCCAGGACCGGACUGGGGACCCGGUAGUAGGGGCUGGAGGACAUGGAGCCAUGAUUUUGGGGAUGCAAGGUGCUGGCUGAAGGAGCAGGCUGGGCCAGGGUCGCCACACCUCUCUCUCCCUGGGAGCCCAGCCUUAUUCCAGGUGCUGGGCUCCCAGGUAGAUGCGACUCCCUGGUCCUGCUGACGCCCACUGCUUCCCAGAUGCUGCCAUCCAGCAAGGAGCCUUGUGGUUUCUCUGUGGCCUUGGGACCCUCCCCGGGAGCCUCCACAGCCUGGAUCUUCUGCUGUCUCCUCAUCCAGGAGGCCCUCCAGUCAACAGGCACCGUUCCUUCUUUGGUGACCCACAGGGCCCCAGCUGUGAACAGCCCUGGCUCCAGGAUCUUCUGGGGCGCUGACUAAGGAGACUGAUCUGGGGGGCCUUGGUGAGCUGCAGCUUGCUGUGGACUCUGCCGCACAGCCCCAGUGUUGGGGUGCUGGACUGGGCCCUCGUGGGCCCCUGGUGCUUUGUACUGCAUGGUGAGCCCAGAAGGAAAUAAUGUUUUAAUUAAGAGUCGUACAGCCUCAGGGUGCAGAGCUGGGCAGGUGGGGAUUGGAUCGUGGCCUUGGGGAGCUGGGUUGCUGGGCAUGUGCGGUUGUGCCAGGCCCUGGGGGUCUGGGCCCCUCUCUGCCUCCCCAAUCUCCAUCGCUCAGCUGUAGGGGAAGCUGCCACCCUAGUGAGGAUCCUUGGCCUCAGCCCCGUGGAUGGCUGGCGCAGGGGGGAGGGCUGCAACUGGGGGGGGUAAGAGAAAGCAUUUUGACAUUUAACAAACACUAUGGAAAUUGAAUGCAAAUUGCAUGCAAAUCACCACUCAUUCCUUAAGCCGACAGCACUGGCGUGUUCAGAAAUAAUAAUGUAGGACCUGUCCCCUGGUGCCGGUCCGUCCUGCGGCCUUCCCUCCCCUGCCCUCCUCCUCCUUCCCUCCCUCCUUCCCUUCCAGCCUUUGGUCCAAGGCCUCCCAGCCUGAAAUGGAUGUAAACAGCAUGAUUGGCCGCCUGCAUCCAGUUUUUGUAGAACCAAGGCCCACGGAGGCAUCCGGUCAGGCCUGAGAUCCCAAAGCCACAGUGUGGAAAGCAUGUGUCCUCUCUCCAACAGUCAUCAGAAGCCACAGUGGAUAGAACUCGUGACGCACAGAGAAAAGUGACGGCUGAGGAGGCGCCAGGCCUGAGCUGGCUUACAAUUAACUCCGGGAGGUGUGGUCGAGGGUCAGGCUGCUGCGCAUGCGCGGCCCACAAGCUCACCCUGUGCCUCCUGAGGUCUCUGAAUUCUGGCCACAGGCCCCUCGGCCUUUUUUUUUUUUUUUUUUAAACAAACUCCUAUUUAUCCUACAAAGGCCUACUUUCAGUGCUCCAUUUUUACACAGCCAUUCUUGACGCUCCAAUAAUAGCCUCCAGUUCCCUCUGGGCCGGGCUAUGCUCCUGUCCUAGGCCUGAGUCAUGAGACCAGGUGGUGUCAGACUCAUUCCAUCUCUGGGAACUCAGCGCAGGAGCUCCAAGGACAUCCAGCUUGGGCUCUUGGUCCAGGGGGCAUUUUGAACGUGUAUCAAUAAAAGACUGAAAACGGAGCAGGUGACUGCAGUGACAGCUUCCUGCCCCGCGUCUUCGCACUGGCCUCCCCCACGACUCCUGGUGACCCAGCCAGCUGCCCACCCGUUUGCCAGGGCUUGGCGGGCCUCAGGCCCCACCCAGCCAGCAAGCCCCGGCAGAGGCGGAGGCAGGAGGUUUCGGUGAGACUUGGCAGCCUCUCCAGCCUCACGGAAGCCUGUGGCAUCCAGGGAGGGGCAGACUCCCGCCGUGGAGCCCACCCACGCUACGACCUGUCAUUCGGCGUGGGAGGGGGAAGAUCCCAUGACGCUCCCUCUGGAGCACUUGCUGGAAACCCAGCUGGGCUGCCAGAGACAGUGUGGCCUGUCCACACGUUUCUGUCUGUUUCCAUGUCUGAGUAUCAUAGGCAGUUUGCAAAAACUAGAGUGCUGGGGGCGUGGUCAGGGUGGAGCCCCGCCCAGACCCCCCAGUGAGGGGUGGGGGCGUGGUCAGGGUGGAGACCCUUUUUGGAGGCCACCCCCACCUCUCCUUGAGGUUUGUAGGCGGGACCUAACCUUGAGUGACAUCUAGCCUAAGCCUCACUCUUCUGCCUGAGCUAAAUCUUGCUGGUCCUCCCACACUGAGCCUCUUCUUGGGGCCACAGGACCUUUGCACACUUUGCUUGGCUCUUUAACCCCAGCCCCGCCCUUCGCAUUUUUCUUUUCCUUUGUGUUUAUUUUUUACUUGUGUUUCUGUUUUUGAGACAGGUUUGUAACUGUAGCCCAAGCUAGCCUCAAACUGUAACAAUUCUGCUUCAGGAUCGUGACUGUGGGGAUCCCAAGCCUGGCCUUUCAUCCUGUAACUUAAAAGCACUCUUUGGGGGAGGUUCCCAAAUGAUUCAUGUUCCCUUAGUUAAAACCUUUUUGUUUUGUUUUGUUUUGUUUUGUUUUUUCCCGAGACAGGUUUCUCUAUAGCUUUGGAGGCUGUCCUGGAACUCUCUCUGUAGAUCAGGCUGGCCUUGAACUCACAGAGACCUGCCUACCUUUGCUGGGAUUAAAGGUGCGUGCCACAGUGUGGCUGUAAUUUUUCAA